rnacentral:rRNA from 1 species
UUAAGACAGAUUACUUCGGUUUGAAGUCUUUUAUGACUGAGUGGCGGACGGGUGAGUAACGCGUGGGUAACCUGCCUCAUACAGGGGGAUAGCAGCUGGAAACGGCUGGUAAUACCGCAUAAGCGCACGGUAUCGCAUGAUACAGUGUGAAAAACUCCGGUGGUAUGAGAUGGACCCGCGUCUGAUUAGCUGGUUGGUGAGGUAACGGCCCACCAAGGCGACGAUCAGUAGCCGACCUGAGAGGGUGACCGGCCACAUUGGGACUGAGACACGGCCCAGACUCCUACGGGAGGCAGCAGUGGGGAAUAUUGCACAAUGGAGGAAACUCUGAUGCAGCGACGCCGCGUGAGUGAAGAAGUAGUUCGCUAUGUAAAGCUCUAUCAGCAGGGAAGAUAGUGACGGUACCUGACUAAGAAGCUCCGGCUAAAUACGUGCCAGCAGCCGCGGUAAUACGUAUGGAGCAAGCGUUAUCCGGAUUUACUGGGUGUAAAGGGAGUGUAGGUGGCCAGGCAAGUCAGAAGUGAAAGCCCGGGGCUCAACCCCGGGACUGCUUUUGAAACUGCAGGGCUAGAGUGCAGGAGGGGCAAGUGGAAUUCCUAGUGUAGCGGUGAAAUGCGUAGAUAUUAGGAGGAACACCAGUGGCGAAGGCGGCUUGCUGGACUGUAACUGACACUGAGGCUCGAAAGCGUGNGGAGCAAACAGGAUUAGAUACCCUGGUAGUCC